rnacentral:lncRNA from 1 species
GAUACAAUAUUCUCUGAAUGAUUCUCUUAAUUAUUCUCCAUAAAUGGAUCAAUCUACAAACAGUCAAAUUUUUCUCAAAUUAUGCACAGAUGUUAAAUUUAUUCAUGAGUCAUUCAUGAGUAAUUAAGAUAUUUUUAUGUGUUAUUAACUAAUGAUUCCAUAUCUUGCUGCUACCAGAAAUAUUUUUACUAUCAUUUGUUAUUCUUGACUCUCCUAUGCUUGUAUUCAGGUAAGUAGACUACAGAUAUUUUAAGAAGCUUAAAUUUUUUGUUUUGCUAUGCUAAUUUAGCUCAUCCAAGCUCUUUCCAAGGUUUUGACAAAUUUACCAGAUUCUUUCCCAACUCCUAAUCUCUACUAACUGAAUUGUUCCUGAAGAUUGAACUUAUGAUUUUGAUAUCAAUACUUGAUAUGUAUCAAAUGCAUAUCCGAUACAUGCAUGGCAUGUAACUUGAAGCAUCUAUUCCUUCUAGAAAAAUCUUAAAUAAACUCAGGUGGUCUUAGUCAUUAGUUAUAUAAGAAAGAAAAAGAAUAUAAUGAUAAAAAGGAGAUAAAACACUACUUCGAUACCAUGCUAACAAAUUACAAUAAUGAUUCUAACUUAGUUCGAAUGUGUAUCCCAAAAAAAAAAAAAUGUUAUACACAACAACUUAAC